rnacentral:rRNA from 1 species
GAAAGCAUUAAGUGAACCACCCUGGGGAAGUACGAUCGCAAGGUUGAAACUCAAAGGAAUUGACGGGGGCCCGCACAAGCGGAGGAACAUGUGGUUUAAUUCGAUGAUACGCGAGGAACCUUACCUGGGCCUAAAUGUAGAUUGCAUUUCUGAGAAAUCGGGAUUCCCUUCGGGGCUAUUUACAAGGUGCUGCAUGGUUGUCGUCAGCUCGUGCCGUGAGGUGUCGGGUUAAGUCCCAUAACGAGCGCAACCCCUAUCGUUAGUUGCCAGCGGGUCAAGCCGGGGACUCUAGCGAGACUGCCACCGUAAGGUGAGAGGAAGGUGGGGAUGACGUCAAAUCAGCACGGCCCUUAUGUCCAGGGCUACACACGUGUUACAAUGGCCGAUACAAAGGGCAGCUACCGGGCGACCGGAUGCUAAUCUCUAAAGUCGGUCCCAGUUCGGAUUGGAGUCUGCAACCCGACUCCAUGAAGUUGGAUUCGCUAGUAAUCGCGCAUCAGCCAUGGCGCGGUGAAUACGUUCCCGGGCCUUGUACACACCGCCCGUCAAACCAUGGGAGCUGGGGGUGCCUGAAGUCUGCCACCGCAAGGAGCGGCCUAGGGUAAAACUAGUGACUGGGGUUAAGUCGUAACAAGGUAACC